rnacentral:rRNA from 1 species
CCUACGGGGGGCUGCAGUGGGGAAUAUUGCACAAUGGACGAAAGUCUGAUGCAGCAACGCCGCGUGGAGGAUGACACAUUUCGGUGCGUAAACUCCUUUUAUAUAAGAAGAUAAUGACGGUAUUAUAUGAAUAAGCACCGGCUAACUCCGUGCCAGCAGCCGCGGUAAUACGGGGGGUGCAAGCGUUACUCGGAAUCACUGGGCGUAAAGAGCAUGUAGGCGGAUUAAUAAGUUUGAAGUGAAAUCCUAUAGCUUAACUAUAGAACUGCUUUGAAAACUGUUAGUCUAGAAUGUGGGAGAGGUAGAUGGAAUUUCUGGUGUAGGGGUAAAAUCCGUAGAGAUCAGAAGGAAUACCGAUUGCGAAGGCGAUCUACUGGAACAUUAUUGACGCUGAGAUGCGAAAGCGUGGGGAGCAAACAGGAUUAGAUACCCCGGUAGUC